UACAGAGGUCUCAAGCGUUGUUCGGAUUCAUUGGGCGUAAAGGGCGCGUAGGCGGUGCGGUGCGGUUUCGGUGAAAUCCCUCGGCCCAACCGAGGAACAGCCGAGGCUACGGCCGUGCUAGACGGCAUCAGGGGACAGUGGAACUCCCGGUGGAGCGGUGAAAUGCGUAGAUAUCGGGAGGAACGCCGGUGGCGAAAGCGACUGUCUGGGGUGCCUGUGACGCUGAGGCGCGAAAGCCAGGGGAUCAAACGGG
rnacentral:rRNA from 1 species